AGCAGCCGCGGUAAUUCCAGCUCCAAUAGCGUAUAUUAAAGUUGUUGCAGUUAAAAAGCUCGUAGUUGAAUUUCGGGGUCAGUAGGCUGGUCGUGCCACAGGUAUGUACUGGUCUCACUGAUUCCUCCUUCCUGAUGAACCGUAAUGCCAUUAAUUUGGUGUUGCGGGGAAUCUGGACUGUUACUUUGAAAAAAUUAGAGUGUUUAAAGCAGGCUAACGCUUGAAUACAUUAGCAUGGAAUAAUGAAAUAGGACGUUCGAUCUUAUUUUGUUGGUUUCUAAGAUCGACGUAAUGAUUAAUAGGGAUAGUUGGGGGCAUUAGUAUUCAAUUGUCAGAGGUGAAAUUCUUGGAUUUAUUGAAGACUAACUACUGCGAAAGCAUUUGCCAAGGAUGUUUUCAUUAAUCAAGAGCGAAAGUUAGGGGAUCGAAGACGAUCAGAUACCGUCGUAGUCUUAACCAUAAACUAUGCCGACUAGGGAUCGGAUGAUGUUAAUUUUUUUAAUGACUCAUUCGGCG
rnacentral:rRNA from 1 species